GCAGGGCAUUGUAGGCACCUGGGGACAAGAGGACCUACAUCAGAGGGCUGGCAGGAAACACUGACUUUCUCAACUACUUGGAUAUUUUAUUUUUAGGCAAUCUCUGCGCCCAGCGUAGGGCUUGAAUCCGCAACCCCGUGAUCGAGUCGCGCGCUCCACUGACUGAGCCAGCCAAGCGUCCCCGGAACCUUACACUUCCGAUGGGGUGCAGUGUAAGUGUGUGGUUUAAGGCAUACAGAUGGCCAACAGAUCCACGGAAAGAUGCCCAACGUCACUGAUCAUGAGGGAAAUGCAAAUCAAAACUACGAUGACAUAUCACCUCAUACCUGUCAGAACUGCUAAAAUCAACAACACAAGAAACAACAGGUGUUGGUGAGGAUGUGGAGAAAGGGGAACCCUCGUGCACUGUUGGUGAGAAUGCAAACGGGUGCGGCCGCUGUGGAAAACGGUAUAGAGGUUCCUCAAAAAAUUAAAAAUGGAAUUAGCAUAUGAUUCAGUAAUUCCACUGCUGGGUAUUUACCCAAAGAAUAGGAAAACACCAAUCCAAUGUGUAUCGCAGCACUAUUUACAAUAGCCAAA